rnacentral:lncRNA from 1 species
AUGAAUUGGUGUGUCUCCCUUGCUGGCACUUGUCCCCUUCCAGGCCCUUCUCAGUUUUUUUCUUCCAUGUUUGUGGGGGAUAGGAAAUGGUUCUUCUUCCCUCACAUUCACCCCUGCCCAGAAGUCCCUCCUUCCCCUCUUCCCCUACAGGAGGCAAGGGAAGGGGUGGGGGGGCAGGGCUCCCCCUCGGUACUGCGGUUGCACAGAGUAUUUCGCCUAAACCAAGAAAAUUUUUAUUACCAAAAAGAAAAAAAAGAAAAAAAAAAAUUUGCCAGCGGCCACCUUCCCUCCCUGCCCCAUUGGGACAGUCAAGACUGGAUCUGGGGGUUCCUGGGAGGGUGGCUCAGGGCUGGAACACUCUCAGGCAAGAGUGGUGGAGUUCCCUGGCAGGCCCUCCGCCAGGCCCACUUUGGGCUUCUCCCCUCUCCCGACUUCUUUCCCCUCCAAGCGACCCACCAGAGGUGGCCUUCCCCUGCCCCCAGGCCUUUGGGCUACAGGCCUUUACUGGGGCCCGGUGGGGUACUGCACAGCCUUGGCGAGGGUGAGCGGUGGGACCCUGGCUCCCUCCAUACCAUAUCCUCUGCUCUCCUUCCCCAGAGCUGGGCAUUUCCUUCAAUGAGCUGCUGUGGGGAUAUUUGUUCCCCUCCUCAGAAGUCUGUGCCAUCUUCUCCCACCUUUCUAGCGGAAGGCAGGGCUGACCCCAGUACUGGGAGAGGGGAGGGUGUUGGACCAUGGGCUCUCAGCCUCCAGGGGGCCGCUUGGGAACAGGGACACAGGCUUCUCCGUUCUGGGCGUCUUUGUCUGAAAGCACAGCCCCUCACCACCACCACCCCCCACUGCUCUCCCUUCCUUGGCAUUAAUCUGGGCACCGUUCUCAUCUCUCAGCCUUGCCUUUUCUUCCUGGCGCUGCCGCCCCUCCUCUCAGGAGACUGUCCAGGGCCUCCAUGGCUGCCUGGCGGAAGGCUGGAUUGGGCGGCAGGUCCAGGAGCCUCUGUCCUCCAUAGGGUGGGGCAAAGUGACUCCCGCUUGCUAACCUCCAAGGCCAGUGUAUGA